GAUGAAGAACGCAGUGAAAUGCGAUAAGUAAUGUGAAUUGCAGAAUUCAGUGAAUCAUCGAAUCUUUGAACGCAUCUUGCGCUCCUUGGUAUUCCUUGGAGCAUGCCUGUUUGAGUAUCAUGAGCAAAUCUCAAAGUCAAUUCCUUUUGUUAAUUCAAUUGGUUUUGCUUUGGACUUGGAGGUCUUGCAGAUUUCACAGUCUGCUCCUCUUAAAUGCAUUAGCUGGAUCUCAGUAAUUAUGCUUGGUUCCACUCGGCGUGAUAAGUAUCACUCGCUGAGGACACUGUUAAAAAGGUGGCCAGGAAAAUAACUGAUUGAACCGCUUCUAACGGUCUAUUAAGUUAGACAAUUGACCCUUAAGUUUGAUCUCAAAUCAGGUAGGACUACCCGCUGAACUUAAGCAUAUCAAUAAGCGGAGGA
rnacentral:misc_RNA from 1 species